UGAGGAAUAUUGGACAAUGGGCGCAAGCCUGAUCCAGCCAUGCCGCGUGCAGGAAGAAGCAUCUAUGGUGUGUAAACUGCUUUUGUACGGGAAGAAGCACUCCUUCGUGAAGGAGCUUGACGGUACCGUAAGAAUAAGGAUCGACUAACUCCGUGCCAGCAGCCGCGGUAAUACGGAGGAUCCAAGCGUUAUCCGGAAUCAUUGGGUUUAAAGGGUCCGUAGGCGGUUUAGUAAGUCAGUGGUGAAAGCCCAUCGCUCAACGAUGGAACGGCCAUUGAUACUGCUAGACUUGAAUUACAAGGAAGUAACUAGAAUAUGUAGUGUAGCGGUGAAAUGCUUAGAUAUUACAUGGAAUACCAAUUGCGAAGGCAGGUUACUACUUGUGGAUUGACGCUGAUGGACGAAAGCGUGGGGAGCGAACA
rnacentral:rRNA from 1 species